CAACUCUCAGGGUCGCACCUGGAGAGUUUCCAGUACUCUACCAGUCUUGACUACGUGAGGAAGAGUCAAGCAGAGGCCUGUCCAUUCCAUAUCUAGCUUGAUCCGUGGCUAGCUAGUGGAAGGCAAUCUGCUAUAAAU